rnacentral:rRNA from 1 species
UACGUAGGGGGCGAGCGUUGUCCGGAGUUACUGGGCGUAAAGCGCACGCAGGCGGUCUGCUAAGUUUGGAGUGACAGUUGGUGGCUUAACUGCCAAAGUGCUUCGAAAACUGUCAGACUUGAGGGCUUCAGAGGGACACGGAAUUCCGGGUGGAGUGGUGAAAUGCGUAGAGAUCCGGAGGAACACCAAAGGCGAAGGCAGUGUCCUGGGGAGUACCUGACGCUCAGGUGCGAAAGCCAGGGGAGCGAACGGG